rnacentral:rRNA from 1 species
UAUGUAGGGUGCAGGCGUUAAUCGGAAUUACUGGGCGUAAAGCGUGCGCAGGCGGUUUGUUGAGACAGAUGUGAGAUCCCCGGGCUUAACCUGGGAACUGCGUUUGUAACUGGCAAGCUAGAGUGUGGCAGAGGGGGGUAGAAUUCCAGGUGUAGCAGUGAAAUGCGUAGAUAUCUGGAGGAAUACCGAUGGCGAAGGCAGCCCCCUGGGUUAACACUGACGCUCAUGCACGAAAGCGUGGGGAGCAAACAGG